AUUGAACGCUGGCGGCAGGCCUAACACAUGCAAGUCGAGCGGAUGAAGGGAGCUUGCUCCUGGAUUCAGCGGCGGACGGGUGAGUAAUGCCUAGGAAUCUGCCUGGUAGUGGGGGAUAACGUCCGGAAACGGGCGCUAAUACCGCAUACGUCCUGAGGGAGAAAGUGGGGGAUCUUCGGACCUCACGCUAUCAGAUGAGCCUAGGUCGGAUUAGCUAGUUGGUGGGGUAAAGGCCUACCAAGCCGACGAUCCGUAACUGGUCUGAGAGGAUGAUCAGUCACACUGGAACUGAGACACGGUCCAGACUACUAAGGGAGGCAGCAGUGGGGAAUAUUGGACAAUGGGCGAAAGCCUGAGCCAGCCAUGCCGCGUGUGUGAAGAAAAUCUUCGGAUUGUAAAGCACUUUAAGUUGGGAGGAAGGGCAGUAAGUUAAUACCUUGCUGUUUUGACGUUACCGACAGAAUAAGCACCGGCCAACUUCGUG
rnacentral:rRNA from 1 species